rnacentral:rRNA from 1 species
CGAACGGGUGAGGAACACGUGAGAAACCUGCCUUUCAUUUUGGGAUAACUCCGGGAAACCGGGGCUAAAACCGGAUACUCCGUCUCUGCGGCAUCGCGGAGCCGGGAAAAAAUUUUGAUGAAAGAUGGUCUCGCGGCCUAUCAGCUAGUUGGUGAGGUAAUGGCUCACCAAGGCGACGACGGGUAGCCGGCCUGAGAGGGCGACCGGCCACACUGGGACUGAGACACGGCCCAGACUCCUACGGGAGGCAGCAGUGGGGAAUAUUGGGCAAUGGGCGCAAGCCUGACCCAGCGACGCCGCGUGAGGGAUGAAGGCCUUCGGGUUGUAAACCUCUUUCAGUAGGGAAGAAGCGAAAGUGACGGUACCUAAAGAAGAAGCACCGGCUAACUAUGUGCCAGCAGCCGCGGUAAUACAUAGGGUGCAAGCGUUGUCCGGAAUUAUUGGGCGUAAAGAGCUCGUAGGUUGUUUGACACGUCGAUUGUGAAAAUCUGAGGCUCAACCUCAGACCUGCAGUCGAUACGGUCAAACUAGAGUGUGGUAGGGGAGACUGGAAUUCCUGGUGUAGCGGUGGAAUGCGCAGAUAUCAGGAGGAACACCAAUGGCGAAGGCAGGUCUCUGGGCCAUAACUGACACUGAGGAGCGAAAGCGCGGGGAGCGAACAGGAUUAGAUACCCUGGUAGUCCGCGCCGUAAACGGUGGGCACUAGCUGUGGGUCCCUUCCACGGGAUCCGCGACGCAGCAAACGCAUUAAGUGCCCCGCCUGGGGAGUACGAUCGCAAGAUUAAAACUCAAAGGAAUUGACGGGGCCCCGCACAAGCAGCGGAGCAUGCGGCUUAAUUCGACGCAACGCGAAGAACCUUACCAAGGCUUGACAUAUAGCGAAAAGUGGCAGAGAUGUCACGUCCGCAAGGGCGCUAUACAGGUGGUGCAUGGUUGUCGUCAGCUCGUGUCGUGAGAUGUUGGGUUAAGUCCCGCAACGAGCGCAACCCUCGUUCUGUGUUACCAGCAUUCGGUUGGGGACUCACAGGAGACUGCCGGGGUCAACUCGGAGGAAGGUGGGGAUGACGUCAAAUCAUCAUGCCCCUUAUGUCUUGGGCUGCACGCAUGCUACAAUGGCCGGUACA